rnacentral:rRNA from 1 species
UACGUAGGGGGCAAGCGUUGUCCGGAAUUAUUGGGCGUAAAGAGCUCGUAGGCGGUCUGUCGCGUCGGAUGUGAAAAUCCAGGGCUCAACCCUGGACCUGCAUUCGAUACGGGCAGACUAGAGUUCGGUAGGGGAGACUGGAAUUCCUGGUGUAGCGGUGAAAUGCGCAGAUAUCAGGAGGAACACCGGUGGCGAAGGCGGGUCUCUGGGCCGAAACUGACGCUGAGGAGCGAAAGCGUGGGGAGCAAACAGG